UGCGACCCCAGGUCAGGCGGGACUACC
rnacentral:rRNA from 5 species